CGUAUCCACGGGUUUCUAUCCAGUCUCUAGUGCCCGGUGCUCUGGUUGACAUUGGACUGAAUGGAAAGGUGUGGGAGGGCAUGGCAUGGCAUGGCCCGCCGACGAGAGCAACAACCUGCCGAACGUAGAAAAUUACCCGCCCUGCCGGUUGUGCCCGUCCAUCCAGCUUGUGAUAACUUUUGCUCAAUGUCCAUCCGCUAUCGUCUCGGCUCGCUUUCCCUGUCCGCCCGCGGCAGAGUAGGGCACAUGUCUGGCAGAGCAUCUUGACAAAUGGAAAUCUCAAGCCGGCCAACUGCCAGGCCCUGUCUCAACACGGACUUCACGGGCAAUGAACCUCAUGGUGCCAGUGUCGACCAGGGCACAUGUUGAGAUACUCUGACUAGGUACACUACUCGUCUACCCGCUCCCGUCGCCCUGUCUAUCACUGUCCACCACGGCGGAAGCACUGGUCGAUCGGUUCCGGAAACAGUCGAGAGUUUGUCGCAGUGCAAUUAGGUCCAAGAGAAUGAUGUUAUCAUAUUCCCAAUCAGGUUGCCGCCAAUGAGAAUGCUGCGGGGCUCCAUGCCGGUCGGGAGUCGGGACCUACCCUUCUGCCAAGGCUGCGAACAUCAAGCUUCCUGGCAAUCUCCAAUUUUCCCCCUCAAACCUCAAGGCCGGCAGGCCAUCAAGGUCCAUGUAACUUUUAUGUGUUUGCACAGCUGCUUGUUUCUGGUCGUUCUCGUUGACUCUGGAUAGAGUUGGAGCUUGGCAUGUGUGACCGAACUACAUAGACCAGCAUCGAGCGGACGGGGACAGGGGUAGGGGCGCUGCAGUGACAAAGGCGUGCAACUUUUGUGUGCUGUGUCAAAAUCUCGUGAACCCUUAAUUCUACUUUUUUUUUCUUUUUUGUUCUUUUUCUUGUGGCAUUUGUCUCUUCGGAGUCACGGUACGUAUGUAACGGGGAGUAAUGAGAGCAG